rnacentral:lncRNA from 10 species
ACUCGCGCACACCCCUCAGUGCGCCCCGGGCGGGGGCUGCCGUCCUCCGCGACUCAAGAGCGAGCGCCCCCGCUCCCCGGCCCACCCGAGCCCCUCUGCGUUCCCCGCUCUUCUGUGCGGGGACAGCUGCUGCUUUGGGGGCGACGCUAAGCCGCGUGGAGGCGUCUCUGGACAGCCCCCUCCCUCCAACGAGCCCGAAAAGCCCGCGGCAGCAGCCGGGGGUCCCUACCUUCUGCGGGGGGGUCCCGAUCAGCAUCUCCAGGAGGCACUUGAAGUACAGACAAAGAGAAAAGUCUACCAAGGAAAGGGAGAAGAGCAAGCUGAGGACGCCAAAGAAUCUUGUUUGGGAUCUGCAGAUAGCAACAAGAAUCUUUAAUAAGAACAACAGAGAGAUGGUAUUUCCAGACAAGGGAAUAAAUUCCCGGAAGCAACUGGCCAAGGAAUGAAAAUCCUGGAGAACAGAGUGGAAGAAACGCGUAUUCCACAUUUCCUGUUGAUUUUCUUUCCUCCCUAAACACUGACCUCCCGCAGUCUUCACUAGCAGGUGAGGUCACCUGUAGAGGUCAUGCUGCGGAGUCCCGAGUCCCUGAUUAUAUUCAAGACGUGGAGCUCUCUUUUUCCCGUCCUGCUUUCUUUCCAGAAGUGCCUCAGAUGCAUCCUCCCCUUCUCUUUUCUCCACAUGAAGACGUCACUGACCAUCUUCUCUGGUUUGCUUUCCAACACCGAGCACCAAGUGCUUCAAAGGUCAUGGUGCCCUGGGGCCGAGAGCUACUUAUGUGGGCAUUUAUAACCAAAUAAAUAUUGAAAUGGCCCACAAAGCAAAUGUUAGUGGUAACCAACAGCGGUAAAACUGGGUACAUGGGACCCUGAACCUUCUUGAAUAUUCCCCAUGAGACCCUGGGCCGACCUUCGGGCUUUCCAGUGUGCUCAGAAAAUCCUCCGUGGCUCCCAGCCCCAGCUUAGUCUUUCAACGGUCCUCGGACUGAAGCAAGAGACAGGGAAGGAAUUGUCCAAGGUUUUCCAGCAUGCUGAGAACACUUACCAUGGUGGAGCCUGGCACGUACUGGCUCUUUGAUGCAUGUGUAUUGGUCUCAAGUAGCCAGAAGCAUCUCCUCUGAGAGCCCUUGCCCUCCAGUUUAAAUGGCAAAUGGAAGGGAAUGGGUUCUGGAAGGCCCCAGGUGGGCUGGGGUGGGUUCUGGAGACCAUCUUCCAACUCCUGUUCAGGAGGAGGGUUGGUCAGAUCAGCUCUGUGGCCACCUGGGCUCUGGAGGGGCGAGAUACGGGCAGGUGCGGCCACAGGAGGGAGAGCACCAUGUGCGGGGGAAGCCCACAGCUGGAACCAAAAGGCCCCAGGAGGGAUCCUGGCUCUGACAUCUCCCAGCCGUGUGGCCUUGGGCAAGGUCCCUGACUUGGACCUCAGCCUCCUCAUCUGUAAAACAGGCAGAACAGUAAUACCGACCUUGUAGGUUGUAUAGAGUUCAUAUACAUCAAGCACUUACCACAGUGCCUGGCGGACCGCAUGCCCUAAACACACAAUCCGUGAAAUGAAUCCAUCAGCAAGCAGCUGCUAGGGGCAGUGUGGGGCAGAGAGGCAGCUGCCUGCUGGAACUGGCUGACAGGAGGAUGAGUGUGUGGCAGGAGGAACGCUCUGCACAGAGGACACUAGGUAGCGUCACCUGUCUCUUACCCUGUGUCUCCACUGGAAUGGAAUGUCAGACUCGCACCAUGCAUUCCUUUCCCUGCCAAAACGCCUCCUCUUAGCAGUGAGCAAGAAAGUUGUUCGAGUGGAUGAAGCCAAAAGCCCAUUUGGCAAGAGUGCUGUUUUGGAAAAUGCUUAGCGGUGUGGGUUGGGAUGAGGUUUUCUGUGCCUUUCCAUUAUUUCUUCAGCUUCAUGUAACCCUGACUGAGCAAUGCUCAGCAGAGUGAAGGCUGGGCAGCAGAUGGACAAGAUUUUCUCAAACUCCUUUUUAAGCCAAUUUCAAAAUAGAGAGAGGGAAAAAUCCUUGUUUUCUCUUUUCGGUUUUGAGAGGUUUCAUAUGCAGACACAAUUUUAAAUUUUAUUUUUUUUGCCCCCAAUGAGAUGUUUGGAGAUGGUGGUACUAGAACAGGAAGGAAUUUAUAAGUAUUGGGGAAUUUUUCAUCCCAAUUCCCAUAUCCUCCUAUAAUUCAAGGAGUGAAUGGGUAGUGUUUUUGUUUUUGUGAGAGGGGUGGCGGAGGGUAGAGAGAGAAAGAGAGAGAGACAGAGAGAGAUUACAUAGAGGUGUCCAAAAUGAACACAGUAAAAACCAGUUUUGAUUAAUUCUGCAAUAUUAAGUAGGCAGCCAAAAAUUUUGGUCUGCUUAAUUCUUAGCUCAUCUAAGUCUCCAGUUGACUGAUUGAUUGAUUGAAUGACUUAUUCAACAUGCGCUAGCCAGACACUGGUCUAGGGCCCAGGAAUUCAGCAAUAAAUGAAACAAGA